rnacentral:misc_RNA from 1 species
GGAUGGAUCAUUACCAAAGGAUUUUUCCUGACGUACUGUGAACUGUAUUGAAUGCAUGGUUAGUGAGUGGAGGUUUUGUAGGAUUAAUUUCUCUAUAACACCAAUACCCACUAACUAUAAACAAAACGUAUUUACUCCAUAAACUGACGUCUGCUUUAGCUUAAUAAACUAAAGACAACUUUUAGCAAUGGAUCUCUUGGCUCUCGCAACGAUGAAGAACGCAGCGAAAUGCGAUAAGUAGUGUGAAUUGCAGAUACCGUGAAUCAUCAAAUCUUUGAACGCACAUUGCACUGUCUGGAAUUCCGGACAGUAUACCUGUUUGAGUAUCAGUAAAUCCUCCUACAAAAGUCUUUUUAUUAAGACCUUGUAGGGAAUUGAGUCAACACGUUAAAACGCGUGACUUUAAAUACAUUUGCUGGUGCACUACCCUUAAAGUUACUACUAGCUGAACAGAGUUAAAAGGCCUAGUGUCUUACGCUGUCUAGCUACUGAAACUACCGGUAGCAAACCGAUUCAUAAACAUACAGCUAACGACUGUGACUAUGAUCUCAAAUCAGGUAAGAUUACCCGCUGAACUUAAGCAUAUUAAUAAGCGGAGGAAAAGAAACUAACAAGGAUUCCCUCAGUAAUGGCGAAUGAAGCGGGAACAGCUCAAAUUUAAAAUCACCUAGGUGAAUUGUAGUUUGUAGAAGUGCUUUCGAUGGUAGUCUGGGUAUAAGUCCUCUGGAAUGAGGUAUCAUAGAGGGUGAGAAUCCCGUCCUUGAUCCAGUAACUACCACAAUGUGAUGCACUCUCAAAGAGUCAGGUUGUUUGGGAAUGCAGCCUAAAGUGGGUGGUAUAUUUCAUCUAAAGCUAAAUACAGGCGAGAGACCGAUAGCGAACAAGUACCGUGAGGGAAAGAUGAAAAGAACUUUGAAAAGAGAGUUAAAUAGUACGUGAAAUUGCUAAAAGGGAAACGAUUGAAAUCAGUGUUGGCUGUAGGAAAUCAACUGGUCAGUAAUGGCUAGUGCACUUUCCUGCAGUCAGGUCAACAUCGGUUUUGGUUGAGGGAAAUUAGUGUAGGAAGGUGACUACUCCGGUAGUGUUAUAGCCUACACGAGUGCCUUGACUGGGACUGAGGACUGCAGUACAUGCCAUUGGCUGGCGACCUGGGUACUAUUGAAUUUGUAGUUGCAGACUGCGUGCAGACUGUAGCUAGCCGUUUAAUACUUGCUCAGUUAGCACAAAUGUACUUAGGAUGUUGACGAAAUGGUUUUAAACGACCCGUCUUGAAACACGGACCAAGGAGUCUAACACAUAUGCGAGUUUUUGGUUGGAAAGACCAUAAGCGCAAUGAAAGUAAACGUAGGUGGGAAGCCGUAAGGCUGCACCAUCGACCGGUCUGGAUUUUUAAUGAUAGAUCUGAGUAAGAGCAUAUUUGUUGGGACCCGAAAGAUGGUGAACUAUACGUGAAUAGGGUGAAGUCAGAGGAAACUCUGAUGGAGGCUCGUAGCGGUUCUGACGUGCAAAUCGAUCGUCAAAUUUGCGUAUAGGGGCGAAAGACUAAUCGAACCAUCUAGUAGCUGGUUCCCUC